UAAGGAGGUGGUAUGCAAUUAAACGAAUUGCUUGCGGCUACAUUAUGAGAUGAGUGGGCUUGUUUUUACUAGAAAUCCUUCGCUGUCUCGCCUCGUAUUAUUGAUGGUUUCCAGGUGAACCCUUCCAGACCUUCCUCUCCUCUCAGGCGAUUGAUGAAGCCUAAACACUCCAAAACCUGCAAACGGAAAAACAAGAAAGGAACUUGUUAACCAAGGAACCAACACAUCGCAAAGACCUGUGACAUUUCAACACAUUCAAUCAAUUAAAAAGCUUCAAUUCAAAAGUAUUUUAACAACCAGCCACGGAUUCAGUUGAGAGCGACAGUAUAUUGGUGGCGUACUGCACUCACUUUGACUUGGUCUGAUUAGAAUGAAUUGGACUGAUCAAUUAAUCCCAAUUGAGAAGUACUGUACAAACCUCUAACAACACACACACAGACCAGCUGGGCUGUGAUGUACCACACCAAGACAGUGCCUGAGAGUCAGCGUGCACUAUGAACUGUGAGUUUGGUCGAUACGCCCGGCCAGGCUUCAGUCCCAUACAAAGGGCCUGUAUCGUCACACUUCAACCUCCUCUUCCUCCAACAGUGCAUAGUCCAUGUAGCCCCAUGUAUAUGGCUGCCUGAGAGUGUGGCGUGUGUGUGUGUCAGUCCAGGCCUCAGACUCAGUACUGUGUUAAUAAUGCAAAGUGAUUCAGCUGGUCCCCUAAGAGCCUCUUUGUAUGACAACACACUGAAGAUAAUCAGGCCCUCCUGCCUCGGCCUAAAUGGCCUGCCUGCCCGCCCAGUGUGUGUGUGUGUGUGUGUGUGUGCGUGUAUGAGAGUGUGUGUGUGUGUCUUUUAAAACAAACUCCUCCUCAGCUCCUCAACCCACUCGCCGCAAGGAGGAACCAUUUAUUGGUUCCCAGGUCAUAUAGGCACUUCUCUUUAUUUGAGGGGGACUAUUACAGUCGCCAAACAAUGGCCUCCGCCUGCAGAAGCUGACCUGAUUGGAUAGCUCGCUGUUCUGCUACAGGGAACAAGGAACGAGUGUGGAAGAGAGGAAGGAGAAAGACAGAGGGGGAGGAAAAAAGACACUGCCAGGUUACAAGGGAUUCUGGGAGUUGGCGCCUCUUCAGAGCGACUCCAAAGCCUUUUUUUUGUGUGUGUGUUUAAUUAUUGAUGUAAAUAAAAAUACCAUAUGUCUCCAUUAGAAUACAUUA